rnacentral:rRNA from 1 species
UAGCCUACGGGACGCCGCAGUAGGGCUUCUUCCGGUUUUGGCGAAAGCCUGAUGGAGCAACGCCGCGUGGGUGAAGAAGGUCUUCGGAUCGUAAAACCCUGUUGUUAGAGAAGAAAGUGCGUGAGAGUAACUGUUCACGUUUCGACGGUAUCUAACCAAAAAGCCACGGCUAACUACGUGCCAGCAGCCGCGGUAAUACGUAGGUGGCAAGCGUUAUCCGGAUUUAUUGGGCGUAAAGGGAACGCAGGCGGUCUUUUAAGUCUGAUGUGAAAGCCUUCGGCUUAACCGGAGUA